rnacentral:lncRNA from 1 species
UGUUCAGAUGGUAUCACUAGUCUUUCUGUUGUAAUCUUGAUACAUGCAAUUGUAAAUAAAAGUCACUACUUUUGCCAAGCUUAAAUUUUGUCAGUCUACAUAAGUAUUUCUUCUUUCCUUUUAUUUUAAAAUUAGCCAGCUUCUGAUUUUAGAAGAGACUUAAAUGUCUGGUAGCAUAUUGACUGAAGCCUAAUUUCUCUUUUUAGAGGAUCAAAACUGUUGUAGGGAAUCAAGGAGUACAGGUAUACACAAGCACAUAGAGCACUCAGUUUUGAGAAUGGACUUGGAAUAGCUAACCAUGUUCAAAUGAGUAUUGAUUCCUGUUUUCUUUAAAAGAUAUUUGGGUAUUUGGUAUCUGGGCUAGAAAUUAUUCAAAUUAUAAACUGCCAGAAAUAAACAGGCUUAAGGAGAUUUAAUUACUCUUACCUAAAACAGUUGAUGGGUCUCCAAAUUCUUUUCCAUGCCAAAUUUUAAUCCAUUCUGCAUAAACUUUAAAUUUUGAUACUCAUUUUAUGUAGUAAUAAAGGAAUGUCAAAUUCAGACAGCUGGGAAAAAUACGGUACAAUAAAUUUUGAAACAACAGGAAUUCUUUGUAAACCAGUAAUUAUCUGAACUACUAAAACAUGCAACAUAGGAAUAUAGACAACAUGAUUUAAGGUUGAAAAUUAGUUGGCCAAAUGUUUGUGUUUAAAAGAUAUUUAACAAAAGGUUGGUUAAAUAUAGCAUCUGUUCUUUGUUAUUUUUUUAAUCUUAAAAUUAUAAUCUGGAAAAUAGUGAUAAAUUUAAUUUUUAAGUAAGUAUUUUUAAAAUUUAAUGUUUUAAGAACACCAAGACAUAAAGUGUGAUUCAGCUAAUGCAUUUGAAGGCAGUCUUGUCUAAAAGUAUGGUAGAGAUGCUGUUUGCCCUUGGGAGGCUAAUAUGUUUAUAUAUGAUUAUGAAAAAUUAUGUGGAAGUUUUAAUGUUGAAGUGGUCACUUUCUGAAACCCAAGUGUUACUAAUUAAUGUUCAGUUCAUUUGUAUGUGAGUACAGUACCUGGUGGUGUGGUGAUGUCUGUAGUUUAUGUAUUUUACAGUUUUGUUGCCUUGGGUCAAGUGGAGGCAGAAAGGCAAAAAAUAAAAGUUUAUAUCACUCCUAAUAUAGACCAUCUUAUCUUAGAGAUAAGAUUAAUACCAAGGAUUUUGUUUUACAUUUUUGUAUACUUAACUUUUUUGGGUAAUUGUUAAAGUGCCUCAUCUUAAGUAUCACUGACCUCAUCCUAUUUAUACUUGACAGUUUAAAAACCCAUAAAAAUGAUUUCAUAUUUGUAAAGGAUUGGGCAUCAGGUUUAUAUUGUUUAUGUGACUUUUCUAUAACUCAGUUGGUUGCAAUAUACAGACAUUCCAUAAUAAUUCAAAUUGUAAAUAGUGAAAAUGUUUAUAGGUAACUGUAAUGUGUUUCACUUAUGGGGAGUUUUACUAUUACAAAUAAACAUGCUUAACUGACCUCAUUUAAAAUAUCAAGAUGAAAUGCUGUUUUCUCCUAAAAUAGUAUAUUUAUAUAUGUGUAUAACAUUUAUAAAUAACUGAAUUUUCUAGAUGAAUAAACGUUUGAGACAAAGGUACCCCUCAUUUCAACCAAAGCUACCCAUUAGAUAGUACUUUCUAGAAAACCAAUAUUGUUUAUUGCUUGUUUUGUCACAUAUAGCAAAAUGAGUAUUUUGUUUGCAUACCUUGUUGUAUUUUACAUUGGGGUACACAUCGGAUUGAGAAGCAACAGUGAAAUACCCUGUCCAACAGAAGCAAAAGUGAAGAAUUGCAGUACAAAGUUCAUCAGCAGAUGGCUAAGGACAAGAAUAGCACAGGAUACCAUACUUUAUGUCGGUGAUAAGUCUUUAUAAUCCAUUUUGGCCCUCUUUGUCAUUAAACCUCAAGUUGUUGCCAGUCUCAAUGUAGUAUUAGAGACAAGCACUUAGCAAUUCAUUAGCAGUUAAUAAGUGAGUUGAAAACUCUGCCAUCCUUGUCCUAAUAUUUGAGGACAAAGUUUUUGCAGUGUUUGCAGGAACGGUUGUUAAUGUACAUUUGGCUAUAGUCUUUUAUUUAUGGCUGUCAUAAAUAAAGACAGGGUCUUCCCAUGUUUCUUUUAAUGUCUAAAAUAUUUAAGACUGUAAUAACAGUAAAGUGCCAGGGCUGAUUAAGUUAGUUAUAUCUCUCCUGUAAAAUUUCAAAAAAUGACAUUUUGGGCUUACAUAUAUGGCUUAUAUUGAUAUUUAUAUAGAUGAGUUAAGUAGGUUAAUUCUUAUGAAGGUAAUUACUUUUUGUAAUUGGUCAUUUCUAAUUUUAAAUAAUUUUUUAAGACAAGUAAUUUGUACUAGAAAAUUAAGUGAACCACUGAAGAAAUUUAACAGGCAUAUUGAAUUCAUUUAGCCUUUAAUUCUUCAUUAUUAGAGGUGUAGUAAUGCAUUCUGCAAAAUUUUCUAAACACAAGUUAUCUGUGCUUUAUGAUGUAAAUGUAGCAUGUUUGGUAGGUAGAUAAGUUUAAAAAUACUGGCCAUUCCCUAGUUAUGCCCAUAUUGCCUAAAGAGCAAUCUUGAUAUCAUUUUAAGCAUGCUUUUAAAUUUAAAUUUGUUUAUUUUUAGAUCAAUAAUUUUUUUUAUAUGCCCAGCACCAUAGAGGUAUGUGGACAUACUGGAUAUUUUAUAGGCUAUUAAGAUCACUUUUAAACUUUAUGCACUAUGUAAAAUCAUUAAUUGAAAAAUGUGACUAAAUCAGAUAAUUUUGUAAGAUAAAAGAGAUAACCAGAAUUUGGAUAUGUUACUGAAAUUGUACACAACUUGGGUAAUAUUAAAGUCUUACAAUAUACAAACUUAAAACUGCU